UACGGGGGGGGCAAGCGUUGUUCGGAAUUACUGGGCGUAAAGGGCUCGUAGGUGGCCAACUAAGUCAGACGUGAAAUCCCUCGGCUUAACCGGGGAACUGCGUCUGAUACUGGAUGGCUUGAGUUUGGGAGAGGGACGCGGAAUUCCAGGUGUAGCGGUGAAAUGCGUAGAUAUCUGGAGGAACACCGGUGGCGAAGGCGGCGUCCUGGACCAACACUGACGCUGAGGAACGAAAGCUAGGGGAGCAAACAGG
rnacentral:rRNA from 1 species